rnacentral:hammerhead_ribozyme from 1 species
GCACUGAUGAGGAGUCUCAUAAUAGGACGAAACAGCUGUCCAGUGC